ACAUCGCCUUUUGAUUAUCAUAAGAGGUCCAGCCUGCCCAGUGACCACAAUUUAACGGCCGCGGUACCCUAACCGUGCGAAGGUAGCAUAAUCACUUGUUUCCUAAAUAGAGACUAGUAUCAACGGCAUCACGAAGACUACACUGUCUCCCCCCUAAAAUCAAUGAAACUAAUCUCCUCGUGAAGAAGCGAGGAUGAACAUAUAAGACGAGAAGACCCCAUGGAGCUUUAAACAAACUUCAAUUGCUUUCCCCCCCCCCCACCAUAGAAAUUAAGCACUAUUGACUGUUAGUUUUAGGUUGGGGCGACCACGGAGUAAAACAAAACCUCCACAA
rnacentral:rRNA from 1 species